rnacentral:tRNA from 1 species
GCCUGGGUGGUGUAGCGGUAACAUAAGGGACUGUGGAUCCCUUGACCCGGGUUCAAAAUGCAGCUUGCCUGCAAGUUGCGUGGAAAUCCCGGCCCGGGCC